UGCAACCUACUCACGGACUAAUAAUAAUCCGUAGCAGCAACGUAGAUUUUUUUUAUACAUUAUUAUCUUGUUAAGAAAAAAAGUUGUAGUGUUGUGUGUUAGUGUAUAAGGCAAUAUAAAAAACAUAUACAUAAACAAAUAAAACAAGGAAAAAAGUAAUAUUGUGCCCAGGGCUCAGAUUGAAACACUCAGAAUAAAUAAAUUUUGCUUGGAUAAAUUUGUGGUUAAGCGUAACGGCAGCAGCCGACUAAUCAAAGGACGACAGUCUAUCCGAUUGCAGGUUUGAUUGAUGAAUUGAAAAAUAAAAACUUACAACUGCGAUUGAAUUUAAUCUAAAAACUUUCAACGAUCAAAUUGGCACUUGGUACUGAACGUACUCGUAGUAAGUUAAUGCAUUUUUUGACAGAGAAAAUUUAUGAUGGAGUUGAAGUUUUAUUGGCACUCACUGAACAACUAGGUACAUUCACACCAGUCACCACUUGUGAGUCGACCUGAUCAUGUUUAUUGUUUAUUGACAGUAUUAGGUACAGUUAUCAGAAGCUCAAAAUAGAAGCAAGUUGUGGAAAAAAAAAAAUAUUUUGAUCUUCUCAACUCUCAAGCAUAUCCUCUCACAGAAGGAACUGAUCAAAAGCUAAUAUAUCUUCUUGAACAAUCAUCUUUAGGUUAACAAAUCAAACGAGGUAUCAUCUAAUAGAAAAAGCGAAACUAAAGUAUCAGGUAAAAUUACACAUAAAAAUAAAAAACGGUUUUCGUUUAUUCAUCUAUAAUUGUGCAGAUGAGUAGAAUUUGAUACGCUUCAGUUUCCUGUUGUGCAGAAGGUGAACCAGGUCGUGCUGUGCCUGAAUAAUAAUGACGAUGAAGCAAUUGUACAGGAGUUAUUGUCAAAAUCUUUUUAAAAUGCUGGGGAAUGUGCCGAGUCGAUAACCAGAUUUUUAUGGAAGAGACUGGAAA